AGUGAACGCUAGCUACAGGCUUAACACAUGCAAGUCGAGGGGUAACGAGAGGAAAGCUUGCUUUCCUUGUCGACGACCGGCGCACGGGUGAGUAACGCGUAUCCAACCUGCCCCCAACUAGGGAAUAACCUUGCGAAAGUAAGACUAAUACCCUAUAAUUUCCUCAGAUGCCAUCUGACGAGGAAUAAAGAUUUAUCGGUUGUGGAUGGGGAUGCGUCUGAUUAGCUUGUUGGCGGGGUAACGGCCCACCAAGGCAACGAUCAGUAGGGGUUCUGAGAGGAAGGUCCCCCACAGUGGAACUGAGACACGGUCCAAACUCCUACGGGAGGUAGCAGUGAGGAAUAUUGGUCAAUGGGCGGAAGCCUGAACCAGCCAAGUAGCGUGCAGGAUGACGGCCCUAUGGGUUGUAAACUGCUUUUAUACAGGAAUAAAGUUAGCCACGUGUGGUUAUUUGUAGGUACUGUAUGAAUAAGGACCGGCUAAUUCCGUGCCAGCAGCCGCCGUAA
rnacentral:rRNA from 1 species